rnacentral:rRNA from 1 species
UUUAAGCAUAUCAAUAAGCGGAGGAAGAA